rnacentral:rRNA from 1 species
CCUACGGGUGGCUGCAGUGGGGAAUAUUGGACAAUGGGCGAAAGCCUGAUCCAGCAAUGCCGCGUGUGUGAUGAAGGCCUGCGGGUUGUAAAGCACUUUCGGUGGGGAAGAAAUACGCAAAGUUAAUACCUUUGCGGGUUGACGUUACCCACAGAAGAAGCACCGGCUAACUCUGUGCCAGCAGCCGCGGUAAUACAGAGGGUGCAAGCGUUAAUCGGAGUUACUGGGCGUAGGAUACGCGUGUGCGGUGGGAAAUACCUGGGCUUAACCUGGGAAUUGCAAUCGAUACUGGGUAUCUAGAGUAUGGGAGAGGAAAGUGGAAUUCCCGGUGUAGCGGUAAAAUGCGUAGAUAUCGGGAAGAACACCAGCGCGAAGGCGACUUUCUGGACCAAUACUGACGCUGAGGCGCGAAAGCAUGGGGAGCAAACAGGAUUAGAUACCCCAGUAGUC